rfam:Populus trichocarpa scaffold_2_contig_21, whole genome shotgun sequence.
UAAUCUGUCUAGUGUAAAUCUUCAUCUAGUUGGGGUAGAUUCACAUAUGACUACUCAGAAUCACGUGUUAUCGCAGGUCCGACUAUAUUAGUCUUUCUUUGGUGAUUUUGAAAAAAAAUAUAUAAAUAUUCCUUUUUAUA